rnacentral:lncRNA from 1 species
AUUAUCAAGGUUCAGCUACAUCACCCAUCUCUUCACAGCUGCACGUGUACCAACUUCCUAUUUCUACCAGAUUGUUAAUGGCUGUUCUUAUUAAUUUCACAGGGAGGCGAUCAAACAAAGUCUUAUCUGGGUGGAGCAGCAGAUGUCUGGUGUAACCUUUGCAAUAUUUUCAAAUGGACACUUAGCAGGCAUACUGCAACCUUGUUGUUGAGAGGGAGAGUGAAAUCAUGGCUUCUUUUUGCCUGCUCCUCCAACAGCGUGCUGACAUUUUAGCAUUAGUGGCUCUGUCAGAGUGUGAAAGAAUCAACCCUUACCGUCCCCCCAUAACACCCCAGGAUAGAACUCUGUCUGCGAGAUGCGCACAGGGGACAAACACAUCAGGGGUCUGCAAAAACCACCUCCCUGGAAAUAUCUCCUCAUGCUCCCUGCCAUAAACCUGCAUACAAGAGGUGGACACAUUGCACAUACUUCAUUGAAAGGUAACGUUACAGUAUUCGAAUAAAGUAAAUUUAAUGAGGUAUCUGUAGCCCUCCAAGUUCACAAAGUGUAAUCUAAUAUAAUAAUUCACUGUGUGUUAAAAUUAUAUAUUUACCUUCAGUUUAUUGUAUUAUAGCCAACAAACUUUUCUAUGCUUUUUGUGUGUCUUUGGUCAUUAGGAAGAAAGAAAUAACAGUAAGCAGUUAGUAGAAGAUUGAAUUGCUAGAACAAUUAAGCUAAUCAUUAGAAAAUAGUUCAUUUCUCCCUCAAAAGUUUUAGGAUGUGGAGUCCCAAACAGCAUGAAACCAUGUGAUAAAUGUGAUAAAAGCA